AAUACCAUAGGAGAGGGAAGAAAAAGGCAUGGAAAAGAAGAAAUUAAGAAGUGGAAAUAAGGGCAUGUUACAUACCUUGCUACUGUAUGCACAAGAAUUUCCCACUGGGAUCAAUACAGUUAAUCUUAUUUUAUCAACAGAGAAGAAAUGAGAUAAAGAGAUGAAUGGAGAAGACACAGACACAGGCGCAAUGCACGCUACAUUUACAAAGUAUGGACGACGGACAGAGAACAAACAGCACAACACAGGAACAGUACAGACUACGCUUACCAUCCAUCUUUGUAUAUAAAUCAAGGAUUGUACUUCGUGCUAUUAGAGGAAAGUCGUGUUGGUGAAAGAGCAAGUUUUUCCUUUCUUAUUUCCUGGUAAAUAAACUGUAUAUUUCCCUUCUUCCGGUCUCGAGCGUAAGGGGAAGUGACGUAUGCUGUAUACUUCCGGUAACGGCUGACACCAUUGCUAUGCGUCACAUGCGUCUCAUCGUUCAUUGGGAGUGUUGAUGUGUCUUUGUGAUUUCAAACAUUAAAAUAUUAUUAUUUAAGUUUAAAUACAGGAAUGUAUUCAUUUUCAAUUUCGUUCACUCAACUGAAAAUAUGUCUCCUUAAAACAUUUGUAUUAUAUAUCAAAUAUUUAAUAUCAAAGUAUUUAAUAAUUUCUUCAAAUUAUUAUUCCAAUGGUUGAUUAGCUUUUUCUCAAACUAAAAGCUAUAUAGUUUCUUGAGGUGGUCUUCAUUCCGUCAACAUGGCGAAUGUAGUUGAAGUGGAAACAGGAACUUUUUUUUCCAAAAAUAAAUAGGUGAAACUUUUUUGAGCAAGUAGAAUAUACAAAGCCUAGUAGAGGAAACAUGCAUAAUGCAAAUGUGAAAGAUUUCAAGGAACUUCAACUAAAAAGAAGGAAGCGGUGAAACUCGGUGAUUUGAAUACACGAUUUGAAUAACGUGUGAGCGGAAGACUGUGAGAAGAGGUACUGGAGACACUAACUCCUCCAGGUCAAUGACCGGCUGCAGGCUGUGCGACUUAAGGGUUUUGCCUGCGCGUGUCACCUGAGCCCGUUUCUCAUGGGGUUUGUCACGAGCAAGCACGCGCACGAAGCGGUGGUCGCCUCAACACCAGUAUGUGAAGAUUCGACCAGCGGUACUGCUCCCUGUCUAAUAAGCCAGGGUCCCCGGACACUCCCCAGCAUUAUUGUCACGGCGCCAUCCCGGGAAGACCUUCUGACGCCGAACCCCGUUAAGACGAUAGAGGGCGCCGCCAAGGAGCGCAGACCGGGUGUCCCCAUCUACGUCAGCCGUCAGCCCUUUACUAAAAGCUGACAUGCAAUUAUCGAAGUACAGUAUCUCCUGGCGAAAUGCCAUUGUGAAAUAAUUGUCUAAUCUGUAAUGUAUCUCCAUUUUUCAGUUAUCAAUAUACCAGUAGUAGUAUGAAUGGAUGGAUAGAUAGUGAGAUUCAGUGUACUCAACUAGCCAAAGACCCUUGCACAGGAAUUUGGUCCUGGUGUAUUUUCUGGUUUUGUGCACCAUGCGUUCGGCAAAUUGGCACAGUUCUUAAUAGGAAUACACCCAGAUAUGACCCUGCAUCUAAUGCAGUAGUAGUAGCCAUCCGUUUACAUGAUUAAAGACCACUGCCUUCAUGUACAGACUUUUAAAUUCUUCUUAGACACAUCAACUUACUGUGAAAAUAUUAAAACGAGGCCUUUGCACUUAA